CACAAAUCAGGUGAGAUUGCGUAGAGCAGAUAUAAAACAUGUGAGCGUGUGAAUUAUGUUUGAUUUGCAGAUGAUGUCAGUAACAUAAUAUUACAUUAUACACUGAACAGGAAAGAGUGGAAUCAUAUUGUUUUGUUAAAGCAAAUAUGAGUGUAUUUUUCUAACAAAUGUUAUUUCUUUUCAAUAUUUUAGAGGAUGAAGAUGUCAGCAGUUCAACACCAGUUCCAAUUCAAAGUGUUUUGAUUGGUGUAGCUAUAGUCAUCAUUGUAACUGGAGUUAUUCUGGGAUUAAUCUACAGGAAAAAAUGUAAUGGAUGCUGUUCAAGGUCAGCAACAUCUGGAUUAUCUAUGUGUCAACCUCCUGGCUCUCUGGUGAGUAAUGUAUUCUUAUGUUCUGUAUCUUUAAAGUAAGCAGCCAGUUUGAUAUUUGUAAUAAUACAUACACCACUACAUAAUACGUUUGAACAUACUUUUCCUGCCCGAGUGUAAAUACAAAGGAAGUAAAGAUUAAAAGUGAACAUGAUCCAUCAAGUUUUAGCUUUUUUUAUUAGGACCAAGAUGACCCUGAUGACCUCUACAGAAGCCUUCAGUACCCAAGAAGUGAUCUCUACCAAACUAUCUCAAUCCAGCCAGCAAAAUAGUGACUGUCCACUUGGAUAAAAUGGAAAAAUAGACAAAAGAGAGACUGAUCCAAAUUGCAAAAUGUACACAGUUCUAUGUAAAGGUGUUUCUUAUAUUUUUUUCCCCCCAAAAUACUGAGACUGAAGUUUGUUAAAACACAUCUGUAUGUGAAUGUAUCUGUGUCAUUGGAACUGUAUGAAGAAUAAAUAUCCCAAAGACAUUGCAGUCACACAAACUACGUUACAGUUUGUUUCUUCAUUUGAACAACUAUAAUUCACUUUCAUCACUUACAGUUGUAUCAAGUUCUAACAGUGCUGUGUGAAUAAGACACUGGUUUCAAGCUGCAAACAACAUGCUGCUUUCUGUGUACAGCUCAAGCUCAGGCCUCUCAGUAUGAGAUCACCCCAAAGACAUACUUCGGUUUCAGCAGGUCAUGUGAUCUUUAUUGUCACUAACCAUGUGAACUGUAAGCAGUGCAGGCAGUAGUUAAUAUUGGUUGGACUCUUAGUGGAUCUAGCUCAAACUGUAGUCUGAAGACCUGAUGUUUGAUGAUCUGUAAUCUUACUGUAGACACAUAUAACACAGUAAUCUGUCUGUAUUUAUUAAUUUGCUACAGUUUUACCUUUCAGAGAGUCCUUCUGUAGCAGCACUUCCUUUACAGGAGAGUUCACGCCACCUAGCUGUGAGACUUUGAGGUUUAUGAACAGUACUUAGAGGUCUGUGCGUCCUCCCUUCAGUACAGCAUGUUGUACUCUACCAGCAGCAGUGACAUUGUUGUAUAGACGUCUCAAACAGUAUGGAUAGAUGGAAACUGUGGUUCGUUGUCCUCCUGACUCUAACUUAUUGUAUCAGCAGCACAGGUACUGUAGAUACCUUUUAUAAUUUGACUUAUACAAGACGUUUUUGUUUUGUUAAUCAUUCUGGCUUUGGUUUAAAGAGAACAACAUUUUUGUGCAGUGAAAACUGUUAUUGUGUAUAAAUACUAACUCAGUGACUGUGUUUCAUGUUGCUUUGAUCUGUGAUUGAUUGCAGCAACUCUUGUGAAGCUUUCAAAAAUCAUUGGGAGCAAACCAGAUGUGACUCCAAUCUGCAACAAUGAAAAAGAGAAGAUCAUCACACUUGUAAUAUGUAAGAUCAGAACAGAGAUGAGAGGAGAAGAGUGCCGUCUGACAUAUGAUCUUCGAAAAGGUUUUAUACAUGAAUGUGACUCCAGAUUCACACUUAUAACGGAGAAUCAAACUAUGUUUCUCCACCUGACCAAUUUAUCACCAGUGGAUAGUGGGAACUUCACCUGUGAGUGUUCACAUGUUGGUGGAACAUAUAUUCUCCAUCU
rnacentral:lncRNA from 15 species